UACGAAGGGGGCUAGCGUUGCUCGGAAUCACUGGGCGUAAAGCGCACGUAGGCGGCUUGUUAAGUCAGGGGUGAAAUCCUGGAGCUCAACUCCAGAACUGCCUUUGAUACUGGCGAGCUUGAGUUCGGGAGAGGUGAGUGGAACUGCGAGUGUAGAGGUGAAAUUCGUAGAUAUUGGGAAGAACACCGGUGGCGAAGGCGGCGAGCUGGUCCAUUACUGACGCUGAGGCGCGACAGCGUGGGGAGCAAACAGG
rnacentral:rRNA from 1 species